rnacentral:rRNA from 1 species
UGGGCGUAAAGUGUCCGUAGCGUGAUGUGUAAGUCGGUUUUCAAAUACUGUGGCUCAACCAUAGAAAGGGAAUAGAUACUGCACAUCUGGAAGUUAUUGGGGGUUAGUGGAAUUUCAGGUGGAGCGGUGAAAUGCGUUGAUAUCUGAAAGAACGCCGAAAGCGAAAGCAGCUAACUACAAUAAACUUGACGGUGAUGGACGAGAGCUUGGGGAGCGAACGGGAUUAGAUACCCCGGUAGUCCAAGCUGUAAAUUAUGCUUGCUAGAUGUUUUGGACCCUUGUGGUCUGGAGUGUCGUAAUCUAACGAGUUAAGCAAGUCGCCUGGGUAGUAUAUUCGCAAGAAUGAAACUCAAAGGGAUAGGCGGGGGAACACACAAGCAGUGGAUUGUCUAGAUUAAUUGGAUAAUAAGCCAAGAAUCUCACCUAGAUUUGACAUGUACUAUGUCCUAUAUGAAAAUAUAGUAGUCCGAGCAAUCGGACAUGGUAUACAGGUGGUGCAUGGUCGUCGUCAGCUCGUGCCGCAAGGUGUCUAGUUUAGUCUGGAAACGAGCGCAACCCUCAUCUUUAGUUAGUAUGUCUAAAGAGACUGCCUGGGUAACCAGGAGGAAGGAGAGGAUGACGUCAGAUCCUCAUGCCCCUUACAUCUAGGGCUUCAUAGACAAUACAAUGGGUAGUACAACGAGAAGCUAAGCCGCGAGGUGGAGCAAACCUCUAAAACUAUCCCUAGUUCGGAUUGUAGUCUGGAACUCGACUACAUGAAGUUGGAAUUGCUAGUAAUGGCGGGUCAGCUACACCGCCGUGAAUAUGUCCCUGUUCCUUGCACUCACCGCCCGUCAAACCAUGGGAGCUG